AUGGAUCCUGUCCUCAGAUUAAAACAGAAGCCCAAAUUUAUAACGGUCAGCUUAGCUUCUCUGAGAAGUUUGCUACAGGUAAAAACAUCUCAUCCCUUGAUUUUAAAAAUCUGUUAUAACAAACGAAUGGUUGGGAUUGAAUCUCAUUUCUCAUUUUUCGAUUUUGUUAUGAAGCUUGUUAGAGAAGUUUUUAAACAUGUUGAGUUGUAA